rnacentral:rRNA from 1 species
UAGGGAAUCUUCGGCAAUGGGGGGAACCCUGACCGAGCAACGCCGCGCGAGUGAAGAAGGUUUUCGGAUCGUAAAGCUCUGUUGUUAAGGAAGAACGAGUGUGAGAAUGGAAAGUUCAUACUGUGACGGUACUUAACCAGAAAGGGACGGCUAACUACGUGCCAGCAGCCGCGGUAAUACGUAGGUCCCGAGCGUUGUCCGGAUUUAUUGGGCGUAAAGCGAGCGCAGGCGGUUAGAUAAGUCUGAAGUUAAAGGCAGUGGCUCAACCAUUGUAGGCUUUGGAAACUGGUUAACUUGAGUGCAGAAGGGGAGAGUGGAAUUCCAUGUGUAGCGGUGAAAUGCGUAGAUAUAUGGAGGAACACCGGUGGCGAAAGCGGCUCUCUGGUCUGUAACUGACGCUGAGGCUAGAAAGCGUGGGGAGCGAACAAG